rnacentral:rRNA from 1 species
AGAGUUUGAUCCUGGCUCAGGACGAACGCUGGCGGCGCGCCUAACACAUGCAAGUCGAACGAGCGAGAGAGAGCUUGCUUUCUCGAGCGAGUGGCGAACGGGUGAGUAACGCGUGAGGAACCUGCCUCAAAGAGGGGGACAACAGUUGGAAACGACUGCUAAUACCGCAUAAGCCCACGGCUCGGCAUCGAGCAGAGGGAAAAGGAGCAAUCCGCUUUGAGAUGGCCUCGCGUCCGAUUAGCUAGUUGGUGAGGUAAUGGCCCACCAAGGCGACGAUCGGUAGCCGGACUGAGAGGUUGAACGGCCACAUUGGGACUGAGACACGGCCCAGACUCCUACGGGAGGCAGCAGUGGGGAAUAUUGCACAAUGGGGGAAACCCUGAUGCAGCGACGCCGCGUGGAGGAAGAAGGUCUUCGGAUUGUAAACUCCUGUUGUUGAGGAAGAUAAUGACGGUACUCAACAAGGAAGUGACGGCUAACUACGUGCCAGCAGCCGCGGUAAAACGUAGGUCACAAGCGUUGUCCGGAAUUACUGGGUGUAAAGGGAGCGCAGGCGGGAAGACAAGUUGGAAGUGAAAUCCAUGGGCUCAACCCAUGAACUGCUUUCAAAACUGUUUUUCUUGAGUAGUGCAGAGGUAGGCGGAAUUCCCGGUGUAGCGGUGGAAUGCGUAGAUAUCGGGAGGAACACCAGUGGCGAAGGCGGCCUACUGGGCACCAACUGACGCUGAGGCUCGAAAGUGUGGGUAGCAAACAGGAUUAGAUACCCUGGUAGUCCACACCGUAAACGAUGAUUACUAGGUGUUGGAGGAUUGACCCCUUCAGUGCCGCAGUUAACACAAUAAGUAAUCCACCUGGGGAGUACGACCGCAAGGUUGAAACUCAAAGGAAUUGACGGGGGCCCGCACAAGCAGUGGAGUAUGUGGUUUAAUUCGAAGCAACGCGAAGAACCUUACCAGGUCUUGACAUCCGAUGCAUAGUGCAGAGAUGCAUGAAGUCCUUCGGGACAUCGAGACAGGUGGUGCAUGGUUGUCGUCAGCUCGUGUCGUGAGAUGUUGGGUUAAGUC